GUUUAGAGCCACGCCACCCUGAACAAGCCUGAUCUCUUUUGAUCUCGGAAGCUAAGCAGGGUUGGGCCUGGUUGUUACUUGGAUGGGAGACCACCUAGGAAGACCGGGUGCCGUAGGCG
rnacentral:rRNA from 1 species